rfam:Triticum aestivum genome assembly, contig: Triticum_aestivum_CS42_TGACv1_scaffold_424017_5BS
UGUGUACUCCCUCCGUUCCAAAAAACCCGACUUCCAUUUGUCCAAAAAUGGAUGUACCUAUAUACUAAAAUAUGUCUAGAUACAUAUAUAUUUUGACAAAUAGAAGGCAUGUAUUGUGCAACGGAGGGAGUAGAAU